UAGCUCAGCCUGGUUAGAGCGCAGGACUCAUAAUCCUGAGGUUCGCGGGUUCGAUCCCCGC
rnacentral:tRNA from 1 species